rnacentral:lncRNA from 1 species
UAUAUUACAAAAGAAAUUGAAGUUAACUUGCUUGUACAUAUAGAUGCAUUUUUGGAUAUGAUAUUGUGUGUUUUUUUCUAUUUGCUAUUGCAUAUGCAAUUUUAUCACAUGGUUAAACCAAUGUUCACCUCCUUCUUUAGUAUGUUAUCCAGUGUUUGCCUAUUAGUAUGUGCAAAUUUGUCACCAAUUGAUUUUGGAGGUUUCUGUCAAGCUAAUUACUGUUUUGGAGCCUGUAGCUUGCAAUUUGGUCAUGUUAUUUUGUUGCUUAUUCCGGUUUAAAUUCUAAAGAUAUCCUUAAUCAUGAGAAGAUCUGUGUGAUUUCUUUGAUGUAUAUUUGACCUUUAACAUGUUAGAUUAUCACCAAGAAUUAACAUAUAAUGUUAUUUGUCCAAUUUCAUUGUUCUAUGUUUCAUGGUGCCACCAUGCUUGUUUGUUGUUUUUCUUACAUUGUUUUUGUUAUAUCCUGCUUCUUUGCUGGUUAUAUAAUAUUUCCCUUACAGUAGUGCUGUUUGAUUUCCAGUUUGAUUCUCUUGAGAAGCUGAAUAAAUUGCUUGAUGCAUGUAAACAACUCGGAGUUGAGACCAAUCCGGCGGUUAUAGAUGGGUUGGGUAUUAUUCCUUUAUUUUCUUGGUACCAUGAGGUGAUCACUUCAUAAAUAGUUUUUCUCAAAACUUGACUAUUUGAAUUUUCCCCCUUUUAAAAUAUAGCCUAGUAGAAGUAAUCUGUUUGUUCUACAUUUCUGCUUCAACUGCAGAGCUUUGAUAGGGAGGAUGACAUAGUUGGCGUUCGAAUUCCGUCUUUGGAUAUGGUAUUUUACUUUAUUUAAAAAGCUUUGAUGGUUCAUUUCUCACUGAUGUUGAUCAAUGCUGUUUAUUAUUACAGACAAUAUAUUGUUAAUAGUGUAGCAUCAUGGGUUUUUUCUGUCCAUGGGCCUUACUCCUCAUUCUAUUUGAUGAAGACAUCUAGCAUAUUCUGCAUAGCUGAUUUUUUUUUUAAUUAUACAUUCUUUAUCAUAAUGUAGAUUGUGUUUUUGUGCUUAUGCUGAUGAAUGACAUGUUAUGACAAGUUUUCUUAUGAGUUGAUCUCUGCUGCUUUCUUUUCAUAAUCUUCCAUCUACUAGUUGUUUGAUGUUUGGGCAUUUGCAUCUUCAUGUUUAUAUUCAAAUGUUUUUGAAACCUGCUUGUUUCAUUUUUCCCUUCUCUUUCCUUGUUUGUAUAUUUUUCAUUUUAUCUUUUUGUUAUUAAGUGUUGUCUGAUUUUUUUCAUCUGGUGGGGUAUGGGAUAUUCUUAAAUAUGUAUCUUCUUUCUUUUCAUUUUGUGAUGUAUAGGCAUGUAAGGACUUUCAUGCAUGCAAGUGGCCUGGCAACCUUUCAAACAGGGAUACCUCUCUUGCUUUAUACUUUGAUUCAAUGAAUGAAAAAAAUCAGAAUACUGUGAAGCAGAUCCAGAGCACUUGUAGCCAAAUUAUUACAUUUUCUCACUUUGUUCCUAGGUUAGUUACAUACUUAUUUAACUCCUGAUUUCUUUUAGCUCAUUGCUUGUUGAUUCAUAGUUGCUUCCUUAUUUUGUAAUGCACAAAUGGUGGCUAGAGGAGGAUAGUUGCUUUAACUUAGUUCAAAAGCAUUAUCUUGUGAGAGAAAUGGUAUUAAAUUAAGAGGAUUUAAAGCGGUAUUGAAUACGUAAGUCAAAUAGGUAGCAACAUGUGAAGGCAAGAAUGACCACAACAGUGCAAGCAUAUAGUGUAGAUAGAGUGCAAUAUAUUCCAUGGUAAAGUGAAGGAUGUAAAUGUCAGCAUAAAAAAAUGACUGAAGUAUGAAAAGGUGAUUAACAAUGGUGGAAAUUGUGUGAACAAGAGGUUUUCCUAUUGUUGGUUCGAUAAACACAUGAAGUGAGAUGUAACUGUUGCUUGUAUUAUUCUUAUGCAGGCAAGAGCUCUGUCCAGAGAAAAGAAUGCUGUUCUAUCCAAACCUCCCAAAAAUCAUUGGCUCUGAUUGGCUCGAGGAUCGUAUAAGGUCUAUACACGGGGUUGAAAGUAGUUCCUUUGCAUGUCAUGUGUUCGGCCACACGCAUUUUUGCUGGGAUGCUGUCGUGGAUGGUAUCAGGUAUUUUAUAGUUGCAUUUUGCACCAGUUUAAUUUUUCUUAUUGAAAAUCUUCUAUUAAAUUCAAGUUCUGUGGUUAGGAAGGAUAUACAGAGAUUAAGUUUUGUUUAGUACUAUUUACUUCAUUCCAGCUUGAACUGGAUGGUAAUAAAUUAUAAUUUAUAUGAAACUUAAACACUUUUGUAGAUUUUUGGUGAAUCUCUUGCUUUUAACUUCUAUAAGUUUUAAGAUAAAUCUUGUUACGGUCAGAUUGGCUCACAAAAAGUUUAAUGUGAAACUAUGCAUCCCCAUUCUUCUUUUUGUACAAAGUAUAGCUUGAAACAUGUUAUUUAUUAUUUUAUCAUUAUUAUAAUUUACAUUAUAGUGGAUAUUAUGCUCUUUCAUAGAAGGCUUUCAGAAACGUGAAUAGCAAAUAUUGAUUAGCUUGUGCUUUCGUAUAUUUAGUUGACACCAAUUUCAGGAGAAAGCUGUUAUAUACAUUUGGUUUAAUAUAACUUUUAGUCCUUGAACUUGGCAAUUAGGUCCACUUUGGUCCCUAAAGCUAGCACUAGGUCUUUUUUGGUAUCUAAACUUGAAAAAUGUAAAAGUUUGAUUGUCUGACAUUCUGAGAUUUUGAGAUUCAAGUUCAGGGACCAAAAUGGUCCUAGUUGCAAAGUUCAUGUACCCAUGUGGACAAAAAAAGGGUACAGAUAUCAAUGCAAACCUAGCUGCCAAGUUCAGGGCUUUGAUUUGAACAUGGUAUUUUCUUUUAUGUAAUUUAACUGAAAAACAUAAGUAUGGAAUUUUUUUUAAGCAGAUAUGUACAGGCACCAUUGGCAUACCCUAGAGAGAGGAAAAGAAGAAUGAAUGGGGGUGAGACUUGGUUACCAUUUUGUAUUUAUUUGGAUGGGGAAUUUGGUGCCAAAGUUAUGCCUUGCUAUUGGUCUGAUUAUUAUGCCAUAAAUCCAAGAACACCAAGUAACACUGAACUUGCACCUUGGGUUGCUAGAUUUUAUAACUUAAUUUAAGCACAAAUAUAAAUAUGGCUUUACCCUCUUCUAUUUCCUAAGAAUUGUCUUGUAUUAUAUACAUGUAUCUUUCUUAGAUAGUGGGGUUCUAUUCAAUAGUUUGAUCCAUGUAGGACCAUGUUAAUACAUUGGACUUGUGAACUCAGAAGUAUUAUCUUAGGUACAUUAAGCAUAUCUCAGAUAAGUGAUGCCCCCAUAAAUCGGAGUUUUGUCCGAGAUAGUGAUCAAGCAAUGGCUAGUUGUGCCUGGUUUUGUUGCAAUCGGUCCAAAUCCGAUAGCAGUUUACAGGUUUGCAAUGGCUUGGCAAGAACUGAACUACUCAAGGCUCGUUCUCAUAAUGAGCAUAUAUUGGAAGCGUGGGAUGUUUAGUUUCAAAUUGGUGACUUAAUCCUUUGCCAUAUUGUACUUGAUGUUGCUUGACCUGAACAUCCACAAUUUUUUUUUAUACCAAUUUUAUUGCUACUCAUGUCAUAACGCAAGAAUUUAAGCACAUUUGAGCUCAUCUCCUUGUAACAGCAAUGGUACCAAUUAAAUCUCAAUUAGUUAUUAUGCACCGGUCGAUGCGCUAUUUUUUACUGAAAUUGAUGUGUAUUGAUACGGGUUGUCUUAGUGUAUCAUUUCAAAUGCAUCAAUUUUUUAAAAUUUAUUUAAUAUUAUAUAAAAUAUUUAUAAAUACCAAAUGAAUGAUAUUAAAUAAAUUUUAAAAAUAAAAUAUUCAUGCACACAACAAGGUUUUACUAUUAAUGGUAAAAAAUUUAAAUUUUUAUAUAUUUUUUAAUAUUAUUUGUGCACUAGUCAUUUCACAAGUGUUUUUGUCAACACGAUCAAAUUGGGUAGAAGAGGUCAACGUGAAUGGUACAGACCUGAAAGCAAAUUAAUUGCAUCGAUUUAAGUGCAUCGAUUUAUUAUUAGAAUAGUGCCUACUAAUCAAUAAGUUUUUUUUUUAAUUUUGUUUUAGUUUAAGUUUUAAUAUGUAUCAAAAUUUUCCAGAUUUUUUAAAUUAAUUCGAAUGUAUUUUUUUAUUGUUUUGUACUAAUAUAAAUAAAUUUAAACCUUAAACUAAUUUACGUUAAAAGAUGUUCAUGGGUCUGCUGAAGUUCAAUUUUAAAAUUUUUUAUAAGUCCAAAUCCAUAUUUGACUUUUGUAAACUCAUUUUACUAUUAAAAAUAAUGAAAAUUAAAUUUUAAAUUGAAAUUUUAUAUAUUUAUAUAAUUAAAUUUAAAUUUAAAAGUGUAAAAAUCUUUAUUCAAGUCUAAUUCAAGCUGGGCUGACUUUUCGACCCGACUCUUGAAAAAGUUUUAUUCAAGCUUAAAAAAAAUUAAAUCUAAAAAUAAUUUAAAUUGUAAACAGAAAAUAAUUCAAAUUUCAAAUUAAAAUUUUAAAAAAAUUGGAAUGAACGUAAACUGUAAACUGAAAAUAACUCAAAUUAAAAAAUAACCCAAAAUUGGACCCGCCAACUCACUUGUUUACCGCCUCUACCUCUCUCCUCCAUUUUCUUCCUUUCUCGGUGGACCAAAGUUUUUUGUUUUUUAUUUUAUUUAAAUUUCAUUCAAGUCAUUUAAAAGCAUUUGAAAAAUUCUAUCCCAAAGGACUCAGUUUUCCAUGUAUAGUAGAUUGAGAGAGGCGUAAGGCCAAAGGUAGAUUCAAUAUUAUUAGAUUUCACUGAGAUGGAAGUUAACUAAACCAUGUAAUGCAAGCUUCUUCUUUUUUUUUUCCACAGCUUUCAUCAACGCUAUGCUUUUAUAUUGCUGAACCUGUAGCUUUUCCAUUCUCUUCGAUAAUUGAUUUUCUGCUUUCAGCUAUAUUUUUGUUUAUGUUAUGGUUCAUUCCUUGUUUGUUUUUGUAAAAGAUUGAAAUAAAAUCUUGGCUUGGAGUGUUAAAAAUCAGUCAAAAUUUUCGGAGAUGCUUUGUUGAUUCGGAACCACUAAUUAAAUGGACUUCUAUCAAGGUUAUUAUUUAUGCUGCUUGCGAAUUGGAUUCACAAUUCUUUAGUUUCACAUUGUUCUUCUGGAUUUUGCAUGCAAAACCAUAAAAGAAACAUCUAAAAUUUGUCUUAGAAUGAAAAGUCUACUUUUUCUUUUAUUGCGACAUGAAAAGGUAAUGUAAAUUGUCAAGUUUCAUGAAUUUCUUGUGAUUCAUUUGCUUUUAUUGAUUUGGUCUCUGUACUCAUUCUCCCUCCUUCCCUUUAAAAAAAAAUUAAGUUUUGUACUUUUGUUGGAUGCAGAAGCUACUAGAGUUUUGAUCCAUGCGCUCACCUUCUUCUGAUUAGGGACGACAAGGUCAGUAAGUGCAAGUCCCAUCACUUUUUUUUUCAUUUAAAAAGAUUAAAAUAUCUUUUGGAGAGUUCUAGUUAGAGUCCAUUGAUGGAGCUCGUGAGUUGCCUACUUGUUUUUCUUUGUUGGUUGGACAUUUAAUUAGUAUUAUUUUUUUCCCUUCUAUGGCUUGCAAAUUGUGUACUCUCAUCUGCUUCAUUUGCAAUACAUGCUAUCUGUUCCUUCUGCUUUGCCGUUUACUUUUAUGAUCUAUGGGAUUAUAUUGGCUACACUCCUCAGAACUCCUGUCUUUCAUGCUAGAAAUAAGGUUACUUUACCAAAGAAUUUGACUUUAUUUUGCCCUGAUUGGCAGAUAAAGUGACUCUCAAGAUAUGGGAUGCCUGGUUUCAACACCAAAGGAUACUGGGGGAAAUAGGAGGAGGCCAGGAAGUAUUGGUGAAGUUUCUGUGUAUGUCCCAGGUUUACGAAUUCCGAAACCUGUUGAUUUCUCUCAAUCACUCAGUGGUCACGUGUCAAAGACAUUAGUAGAGCGCCUUACAGCAAUGAGAACUCGUAUAGUUGUUAUGGCUGGGCAAGAAGCACUUACAAUUACAAGAACAAGGAGGAAAACUACUACACAGCAUGGUUUAUUGCAGCUGAACCUGAUUUUCUUGUAAAUGGAAUCUAGUAAACAAUUUUACUGAUAUUUCGGUUGAAAAUACUGUCUACAGGGCGUUCAACAUUGGUAGAUCUUCAUCAAGCUCUUGAAGACUAUUUGCCUGUGCUUUUGGGAUUAGUUUCAGAUGGUAAAAUCUAUUGUUAAAGUCACGUUCCUUAAAAUGUUUAGUUUAUUGUAUAAGGCAAAUUGUAACACUAUGGUCCAUUGUCAUGGUUCAGGGAGCCAGCUACAGUUCAAAGUACAGUUUAUUUGGGUUAAUCAGGAGGAUGAUGCUGAGGUCUGACUGCGGGUUUAGGCUAUUAUUGUCAACCUAUCUUUUAUUUGCGUUUGACAUUUUAUUUGGUCUUUCUACUCUUUGAGAAAUAAAGAUUUGAUGUGAAUCAAAUUUUUUUUUGGCAGGAGACAGCCAUGUUUAAUGCUUGGUAUGAAGUGUUGUCAGUAUUGCAUUUGAUGGCAGUGUUAUCAUUAUCACAAGCCAACUUACUGCUUCUUCCAAGGACUUCUGCUGAUUUUUAUCAACCAAAAGCAUCAGAAGGUAGGUAGUUAUGAAGAAAGAAAAAGGAAAUCUUGGUGCUGGUUCUUUCUGGCUGCUAUUGCUUUUGUUUCUUUCGUUUCCUUUUUCCCACUUGAUUUUUAAAGUUUAAGACUUAUUACCGGAAAAUCUGCUUAUCCUUUCAACUCACUUUAGGUUUUCAUUCUGACUUUGCUUCAACCUCUUUAUCCAUGGUGCUAUUGACUUCAAUAUUUUCUCAAUAAACAGAAAGCAGACGAGCUUCUAUUGAUAUUUUCUUGAAGGCUGCAGGAUACUUGGAUUGUGCUGUCAGGCAUGUUCUCCCUCGGUUGCCAUCUGAACUAAGGUAUAUAGAGAUGAAAUACUAGCUGUUAACUUUCUUUGAUAUCUUAACAAUCACCUCUCACUUUCCAGAUCUAGUAAUAAUCUAUUGAUGUCCAUUUUACUUGCAGGAGAAAUUUACCAGUAGAUCUAGCAGAAGGAGUUCUUCGAGCACUUUGUUUGCAAGCAUUAGGGCAGGUACUAACUUCAUCUCUAGAUUGAUAUAGGUGUCAAUUGUUAGGUUGCUUGUGAAUCAAGUUUACAAUGUGGACCAUCUGGUAUCUUAUUGGAGUGACAUGUCUGAAUAUUUCUUUAUUUGCAUUGCUGCACAUAAUCUAAUGUUCUUUUCUCAUUUGAUGAUAUCUGUCUACUUGCAUAAAUUACCCUUACCUGCUAAAGAUACGAGCAUUUUUUAGAUUGCAGCUCUAUCCCGCAUUAAAUCCAUGUCAGAUACAAUGCAUAUCUAGUCAUAUUUCUCCCACAUAUAUACUUUAAAUGUCCAGUUUAAACUCAAAAGUUUCAACUUUUCAGGUUCUUCCAAUGCUAAGUAAUUUUGAUUGUCAGAAACAUGAUGAACCUGUAAAAACCAUUUCCCCCCUUUUUGCACAGUUUAAGAUUGAAUUUAUGAAUAAAGGAAUAGGAAGGGAUAACUGCUGGUUUAAGCUUAUUUAAAAGGAAUAUUCAUGGUCAUGGAUUUUUUCUGCAAUGGCUUUUUACUUGUAUAAUAAACAAGAUCGAUAGAAUUGAUAUAGUAUGAACACUCACAGCAGAUUCAAACCCAAAUAGAAAGAAGCAAGGAAAUGAAAACAAAGUGUUUGGUAUCAUUAUGACAGCAAAAGUCAACAAGAAUUUGAGGGAAAAAAGGAAAGCUCCUUCUAGGAUUGUGAUAAGAGCAGAAAAGUUGUACAUGGCAUUGAAUGUUGAGCAACAAAGUAUUGAAAUAAGUAAGAAAAAGGAGUGUGAUUGAAUUGGGUUUGCUACUCUAGAUGGGCGUCCAUACAGGAAAACAAAAACAAACUUGUAUACGAGUUCAGAGGAGACCUACAAAUAACUACUGGGGACCUAUGGUUAACAGAAGAUGCUUGUAUCAAGAAAUGGACAGGAAGACCUAAGAGAACAUGGAUAUAAACUGCUAAAAAGGAUCUUUCUUUGGCCGAGCUUUCUGAGGAUAUGAUUUCAUCUAAUGGUUCAAUAUGCACCAUACUUUGUGAGAAAAGGCUUUGUUGUUUGUUACUCCUGUGAAUGACUUUAUCUUGCAAAACAAGGACCAUUCUUGCGGAAGCAUGACUUGUUUGCUAAACAAAUGUUGUAUAUUUGCAUUUCUUUUCAUGCUCUUGGAGUCUUGGUGAAUUCAAAAACCUUUCUGCAGUAUAAUGAGGAAUGAUAGUGUUUGGUUUCAUUAAAGAAUACAUUAGUAGAGGGCUCAAGUGUUGGUCAUGUGCACUUUUCUUUCUUUCUAUGUGUGCAUGUCUAGAAACAGAUUGGAACAGGCAUUGUGUAGGCAUAUUUUUUUCUCCUCAUGGUUUAAAGGUUCUUUUUUCCUCUCUGUCUCUGGUGUAGGGUGUUGAUAUCCAGCUUGGAAUGGCAAUUGAUAGUACCAAGGCUACUCUUGCUGUGAAGCGAAGGCUUGCAUGUGAGAUGGUAAAAUACUGGCAGCAGGUAUCAAUUCACCUUAUGUUUUAUUGUUUUUUGAGCUCUGACCAGCCUACCACAUCUUUUGUAGUCUUCAAUUCAAUCAUACUUCUAAUUUUUUAUCAAAAUUUCAUUUUCACUUGAUAUGCAUAUAUAAUUGCUUAGUUUGUGCGUAGGCCAUUUUUUUAACUUGGUGAUACUUUAUUGUGAAUGUAGUAUGAAUGAGAUUUUGUCCUGAUCACCUUUCAGCUAGUUACUAAUUGUCGGCACUUGAUGGCAUCUGUUAUGACUUUUUUUUUUUUUUUUUGUAGUCUAAUAACAAUGUUUUUGAAAGUUUACUUAUUUGGCUAUCAGAAUCAUGGUUUUUUUGUAGUCUAAUAACAACGUUUUUGAAAGUUUACUUAUUUGGCUAUCAGAAUCAUGGUUUGUCUUUUUUCCUCAAACAUUUUAUGAAUUAUUCAUCUUGCUUCAGUAUAUCAUCUAUUAGCUGAAUGAAAGUGUAGUCAGUGAUCUUCAAACAUAUAUUUAUAUUUAUUGCCAUAUCUUAACAGGCUCAAGAUAACCUUAUGAAUCUUCCAUUAUCAAAUGGAUGGGGUGAAAAGCAUCGACAUUUUGUAAAGUGGAAAUAUGUUGAGGCCAAGGUAUACCAUCCUUUGUUUCAUUUCUCUAUUUUCCUCUCUAGGUGUGAGCCAUGAGGACAAAAGCAUGGUUAUGCGAAUAUUCUCCUUAGUGCAUUCUUGAAUUUAAAUAUCAGUUUAUGUAACACUUUUGAAGAAAUAAUAACACUAUAUACUGAAUCUAGCUAACAUCAAUCUAAGAUAUCUGCUAGAUUUUCUAGAAGUAGUUGAAACAUAGUUGUAAAUGCAGCAUUUGUAUUGAUAGAAUACGGAUUAAGUCUAUAUACUAGCCUUUUUUAUCGCACACCUGUGUUGACAUGGUUUGACAUUGGCUUAUUCUUGAGGUUAGUGUCCAAACUCUCCGGAGUUGGCUGGGUUCAGUUUUGUAUUGCCUCCACUAUGCAUAUUCUCUAUGUCACCAAUUUAUUUGUUAUUUCUGGCCAGGUUCAUUUACUAUUACAACCCCAUCCCAGAAAAAUUAAUAAAUAAGUCAGAAGAAAGAAAAAAGAAGUCAUAUAAUGCCUAUGCAAACAACCCGAAUUUUUUAUAAAUGAUCAGGGAAAAAAGGACAUUCAGACCUCAUUUUUCUUUACUGUAUUCUGCUGGAAGGAUAGUUAGAGUAGCAAUGGCUAUCUUGAAGUUGCAUUUGUCGGCUAAUAGUAGUAAUGUAAUUAUAUUUAUUUCUUUAUUGAUUUAUACAAAUACAGGCUGCAGCAUAUUAUUAUCAUGGUUUGAUCCUUGAUGAGGGGAAUACAGAGAAAUCCCAUGGUAUGGCUGUAGCUGCUCUACAAGCUGCUGAUGAAUAUUUCGAGGAAAGCAAGACGGCUUGUGAGGUAUUUAAUGCAGCUCAUCCUUUGUCCAGGUAAUUCAUAUUGGCCUUUUUUGGUAGAUAAUAUUUAUUCUCUAAGCAUUUUUUCUUUUUAUUUUGAAGAAGCUAUCUAUGCUUUCUUUUAAACAAAUCUAUUUUUCUUAGACUAUGGCGCCAAGCAAUUAUUAACCUUGUAGGAACAGGUAAGGAUAGGAAGGUCGCAAGGGAACUUUAACACUUUGUCCCUAUUGGGGCAGAAAUUUUAUUCUCAGCCUAGACCAUCCUAUGCCCUAUGAUAUGUGAAAUAGAGAGAGUAAAAUAGUCUCAAUGAUAAAAUAUAACAAAGUAACAAGAAAAAAAGAAACCCUCUUAAUAACAUGAUUUAAUUUACAUGCUUGCUCUUUUUGGACUUGAUUUUGUUUAGGUAAUAUAGUUUCAGGCUAGAAUUUUCCUUGCUAAAGGUUCUUGUUUGGUGCAGGAAUCCACCACUUUGGGGGACCAUGAAGUAUCUAUCUGAGAAAAUUCCGAAAGACACUUCUAGCAAGGUCCGGAUUAACCGCGAUCUCUACUCCCACGAAAAGUAAGUGUAUGGUUUUCCAAUUCUUAAACUGGCAGUCAUUACUUUUGGUUAAUAACCUUGGUAUUGGUAAAUGUUAUUCAGAAACAUGGGGACGGCUCCAACAUUACCGGAUUUCGCAUUAGCAUUGAAACCGAAUGAAUAUCAAUUACCUCCGGUGGAUCCCUCAUGGAAUGAGAAUGUACAGUUAGGCCACAUUGGCACUAAUGAGGUGAAGGGUGGAUAAAAAGAUAAGUUCACUAUGAUAUCUUUUGUAUAAAAAAACGCAUACAGUUACCAGUCAGCCGCAAAGUAUGAAUGGCUAAAAAGGUAAGUAGAUUUUCGCCAACUGUUGUGUAGCAAGGUCCAUUAUUGGCUUCUAGCUUUCCUUUCUGUGAUUCCUUCACAAUAUUCUUUCCUUUCCCCUCAUAAAUGUAUUGUACAAGAGGUUGAUUACUGAUAAACAUAUGGCUCCUCAUGCCCUUCCCUUUUGGUCUAUUCUUUGAUUUUUAUACUUUAUAUUUACUGUAUGCAUUUUGCUUUUUGUUUACAUGAAAUAAAUGUUUCCUUUCUUUAAAACCUAAAGAUUUGAGUGAAAUUUGAGUUUAGUGUUUUUCUCAAUUUUUAAGGUUGUAUAUUUAUAUGAUAUGGUUAUUGUUCAUUGAUGUGAUUUUAUAGGUAGAUUUUAUGUAUGCCAACACGUGUUCUACUCUAGACUUAACACAUACUUAUACGAUCUGAGUUUUUGCCUACGCAAUGACAUGCGAACUCAUAUUGUAUAGUUCCAUAUAUAACAACACUUAGCGUCAUGCAAGCUUGAUAUGCGAGCCCAAUGUACAAGCUUGAUAUGCGAGCUUGAUACAUGAGCCUAAUGUGCAAGCUCAAUGCAUGAUUCAUGUAGAAUCUGACCCGGACCUAUUCGGGUUGUGGGUUGGCAAUAGUAAGUAUCAUAACAAUUUGCUAUUGAUGUUUUUAGUUCUUUUUAUGUGUGAUUAUUAUGUAUAAGUUAUCAAACAUAUUUAUUGAGUUUUAGUUCAUUAUAUGUUAGCUUUGUCUGCAAAGGUGAAAUUAGAAAAUUCUUUUAGGAUGGAUCGAGAUGAAGCUAAAAAUUAAUGAAUUAAAAUGUAAUUUCACCUUUCUAUUGAUUUAUAUUUUGAUAGUUUUCAAAAGAACUAAAUCAAGAUUCUAACACUUUAGAAUACCAAACUAUAAUUUUAUCAUAUAUUAGUUUAAAAUUUUACAAAUUUUGAGAAAAUUAAAGCAACGAUUUUCCAUUUUGCAACCAGGGCUAUUGUUUGCCCCUAGUUUUUGCCAUUGCUUGUUUGGAUAUUUUUUAAGUUCUUGUUUGGUUGAACUCAUUUAAAUUAUAAUUACUUCAAUAUAUAUUUUUUGUGAUUGUAUUGUAAAUAUUAAAAAAAAAAUUAAGUGAGUUUUUUAUAUUAUUAAAAUAGAAAUCUAUCGAUAUAUAUUUCAAAGACUUUAUUGUAUCUCAUAAAUAUAAAGUUGUUUGCAUUUAAUGACACUUAUUGUUAAAAAGAUUGAAUUUAAUUACUUUAUCAAAACAAUUUGAAAAAUCAACAUAUAUGAAUAAUUCUAUAUGCAUGUGUUUAUUAGUAGUUAUUUUUAUACAAAACUUGCCAUAAGGUUUUCCGUGAAAAGGCUAUUGGAAAAUACUAAACGUAUUGUCUUUUUAAGAAAAAAAUACUUUAUUUGAUUAUUCAAUUAUAAAAAAUUUAUAAAAUUUUCAUUUCAUUAUUUAAUUUUAUUUUUUUCAUUUAAUUAUCUUAAUUUUUUUGAAUGUUGGUCUACUAUGGAUAAAAAAAAUAAAAUUGGAUAAUUAGAUGAUCAUUUUAUAAUUUUUCAUAAUUAGGUGAUAAAAAAAUUAUAAUUGAGUGACUAUUUUAUAAUUUUUCAUUGUUAAGUAAUAAAAAAUAUAAUUGAGUGACAUUUAUUAUAGUUUAACAAUGAUAUUUCAUGCAUUAAUAUUGAGAUACUUUUACUUUCUUCGAAUUAGUGAUUAAAGCUUUUAUUAGGUAUUUACAUCACUCUCUAAAUAUUAUAAUAAUUAAGAAAUGUAAAACAAAAAGAAUAUUGAGAUAUUUUGCGUUUUGAGAGUUGUUGAUUUCAUUGUAAGGCCAUUAAAGAUUUAUUGUGAUGAUAUGAAAAUCACACCAAAUGUAGGUAAGGAAAUAAGAAUGAGAAUCUUUUCUACAUUUAGAAACUCUAGGCAUUAAAAUUUUGGGGAAAAAGGGAGAGAGAAAAGUACAGAUUUGGCAAAGCUAUCAGCCAAUCACAAAGCAAAGGUGAAAAUGAAUGGAGGAGAAUAUAAUAAUUUGAAAAAAAGAAGAGCCACAAAACAAAAGAUAAAGAAAUUAGGCCAAAAUGCUAUAAAGUCAGAAAGUAAGCGAGAUUAACAAUGUGAUAUCUUAUUAUUACUUAAUAAAACCAAAACCAAGAUAUUAUUUUAUUUUGGAUUUCACCUUUUUAUCUAUAAAAUAAAUAUUCCAUAAUUUGAAAAUGAUGUAAAUUUUAUAUUUUAAGACUACUUUUACUUAGAGUACAAAGAAUUGUGGACCCCCCUUAAUUAAGAGUUUAAUUAUAUUUUUGUCAUUUUUCCUUAAAAAUAGACCAGUUAAUCUUGAAUUCUUGAUAUGUUAAAUUAAAGAGUAAAUUGAUUAUUUUUAUUAAAAAUUUUAUUCAUUUGUAUUAUGUUAAAAAUCGAUGUGGCUAACAGAAUAACUAGAAGGUGACACGUGAUUUGUCAAGUGUAGACUUACUCAUGGGUCAAGCCACCCAGUUCGACCCGAAGGCCCGCCCUAAAUGUGAGAGGGUUUUGGUAAAAAUAUAGGCCCGAAAAAUAGACUUUGAAAAAAAAUAAAGCCCGUUUAAAAAAAUGGGUCUGGCCUUGCGUAAGACAUUUUUUGCCCGGGCUUGGCUCAGCUCGAAUUCACUAAAAGACAAAGAAAAUCUAUUUUUUUAGUAUCAUUUUACUAUUAUGUUGCUACUAUUUUGUUGUUAUUAUUUGGAUAUUGAAUAAAAUUUAUUUUAUUGUUAAUUUUGUUAUUAUUUUAAAGAUAUUUGUUAAUUUUAUUAUUAUUUUAGAGACAUUUACUUGUUAAGUUGCAUCUAUUUUAGUGGUAUUUAAGUAUACAUAUUUUUUAAAAUUUAUUUUCAAUUUGUUGAGAAAUAUUUAUUUUGAUGUUUUUAGUAUUUUUAAUAUAUUAUAUAUUUUUUAAAAGUAUAUAACAAAAUAAUAUAAAAAUUAAUAUGGUCGGGCCGGGUCGGGCCCCAGUUUUAGCAUUUUUAUUUAGAUUGGGCUUGGGAAAAAUUUAGGCACAUUUUUCGUGCCAGGCUGAGCCCGAGCUUAGCAAACGGGCCUGAAAUUUAGUUGAGCCCGGCCCAUGUACACCUCUAGUCACGUGUACAUCAUAUUAAUAUACAAAUAUCAGUUUUUAGUAGUAGAAAUGAAUGAAAGUUUUAACAUAAUAUUAGUUUACUCUUUAAUUUAACGUAUAAAGAUUAUUUUAUUUUAUUUUUUAGUAGAAGAUGGCAUAAUACAAUUCGACCGAUGACAAGGAGAAUAAGCCUUUGAAAAUGAUAAAUUUACUAUUUAAUUCUUUAAAUUUUACGAAAUUAUAUGUUGUUAUAAUAAAUUUACAUUUUGUUUCAUAAUUCAUCUCUAACCCUCUAGAAAUUUUAUUUUAUUUUAUAUCCUCCUUAUAUCCAAAUCGAUAUACAAUAUUAUUAGCCAAAAUUAACAAUAAUACCAAAUGUUUAUGAUCCACACAGAAUUGAAAAGACAUUAUCAAAAUCCCCAUGAAUCUGGAAAUAUCAGAAUCACGGCUCACAAAAUGUUAAAUAUACCAACCUAUCCAUAUGCACCAGCAUUUGCCACAACAAUAAAUUUCAAUAUUUUAUCACUUUUUUUUUAAAAAAUUAAAAUAAAAACAAAAAACAAAGCAGAUAAUUCUCGAAUCCAUCCUGGCUCUUUAGGAAGGACAAUCUUAAAGAAAACUAUUUUGUUAGAGAUACAUAAAAUUCAAAUCGCUCCUUUAAAUGGAAUAUUUAUUAUAAUAUGCAUAAUAAAUUUUAUACAAAAUUAUUUUAAUUUUUUAUCUCUUUUAAUCUUUAAAUUUACAUUUUUAGUAAAUUAUUCUAAAAUGGACGAAAAAAUUAAUGUUCAUUAACUUUACUGACGUGGCAUAUAUGUGGAUCCACGUAGAUGAUAUGUCAAUAUUUAAUUAAUUUUUAAAAAUAUUUUUUAAAAUAUUCUUCAUAUUUUUUAAAUUUUAUAUUUUAAAAAAUAAUUAAAUGCUAACGUAUCAUCCACGUGUAUGCAAUGUAAGUAAAGUUUAAAAACUGUUAACUUUUUCAUUCAUUUUGAGAUUUGAUAAAAUAAUGGAAUUUAAAAAUAAAAAAAUAAAAAAUUAUUUUUUAAAAUUGAAGAGCCAAAUAAAUCAAGAAUUCUUUAAAAGUCUAGAUUAAAAUCACAACAAUAAAAUAAAAAGAAGAGGUAUUUAAGUCUUCUAAUUUUAAUAAAUGGAAAAAAUAAAUAUAUUUGAAUUUAUUUUUAAAAAAAUAAUAAUUAGUAAUUAGACAUUUAUUCUUUAUAUUGUUGGUUUUUAUUUAUUUUUAGUAUGUGUGCCUUAAAGAAAAUUACAUUAUAAAUCAAAUCCCAACACUUUAUUAAAAAAUAAACAAAUUUAAUUAAAAAUGAUAAAAAAAGGUCAAAUAAUUUUUUUAUUGAAAAAAAAAAAGAAGUUGCUAAACUCUUUGUUCUUAAGACUAUCUUUUUGCCUCUCUUUUACUUCAAGAGAAAACUAUUUUAAUUAAAUUAUUGCUUUAAAAGAUAAAAUUAAAAAAAAAACUCAUCUAAUUACGUUAAUUUCUAGUAUAGUAAUUUAAUGAAAAAAGAAGGGCCACGUGGCAGAAAAAUGGACUAUUCUUCUUGAUUUUGAGCUGAACCACCAGCUACCAUGCACCACUUAACAUGUGGCUCUUAUUUUUUCCUAAUUUUUUUUCAUUUUUAAUAUACUUUUUUAUUUGGAAAGUGAAAUAUCAUGUUACUAUUUUAAUAUAAAAAUAUAUUGUUAAUUGGCCAUUUUCUAUUGGCCAUUGGGUGACUCUUAACCAAUCAGCCUGCAUUAUCUCAUCCACGUCAGCGACACGUUCCGUUUUUCGUAUGGACCGCCAAACACUGACUCGUAUAUCAACCUUUUUAUAUAUUAGAAUAUAAUUUAAACUAACUUUUGUGGUGAAUAUACCUAAGAGGUCCCUCUAUUAUAGAGGUCUUAUCAAAUUAGUCUUUCUACUAAUAAAUGAAUCAAUUUAAUCUUUUUACUAUUAAAAAGAAUCAAGUAAGGUCAAACUAAAAUAGAGUUAAUAUUUAUCAUUUACUAUUUAACAAAUUUAAUUAUUUUAAAAGUUUUUAUGAUUUUUUAAAUGAAUUUUUUUUGUUUUGACUUAAACAUUAAUUAAAAAAUAAUUUUUAAUAUAUUUUAUGUAUGGUAAAUAUUGAUUCUAUUACAAAUUGGAUUUAUUUAAUUUUUUUAAUAAUAUGUGGACUAAUUUGAUCCAGUCUCUAUAAUAUAGGACUUCCUAAAUAUUUUAACCUAAAUUUUGAUUAAAUAUAUAAUAUAAUACAUAAAUUUAGAGUUGAUGAAAUUAUAGAUAUUAAAAAUGAAUAAAUUAUUAUUUUUAUUUUGAAUAUAUAUGCUUAUUUUGGGCAUGUAAUAAAUGAACAUAAAACAAAUGUUUCUUGUGAUGUGGUAAAAAAAUAUUGUUAAACAAUAUAAAUAAAUGAUAAAUUAUAUUUAAGGUUAUUAAAUUAUUUGUAAGAUAACUUUUUGGUUAUUUAACUUAAACAUAUUAUAAAAUAUUUAUUAAACUAUUCGAAAAUUUUUAUUCAAGUUAUUGGAUUAUUAAGCUUAGUUAAUAAAUUCCAAUCAAUAAUUUGACGAUCAGUACGGUGAAUCAAUUCUCAUCAAUGAGUAGAAAAUCAUUCAUUAAAUCCAAAUCGAAUUAAUGAUAAAUAUCGUAUUAUUUUGUAAAUAAAUUCAAAAUUAUAAAAGAAAUAAAAAAAAUACAUUACAUAAGCACCCUUUGGAGUUCUCAUGGGACGCUUUUUUCCUUUUCUGGUAAUAACUAAUAAGGGACUCUUAUUAUUGUUAUUUUUGGUCCCGUUACUAUUAUUAGUUGGUGCAAGACAUGAGGGUCAAGCCCUUUUUUUAUUGAACAAUACAAGGGGGAAGUCAAAUAUUUUUUGUUCGGAAAUCAGAAUAAAAUUAAAAAAUUUAGAAUGUCAAAGCUAACAAUUUUAUAUCGAAGUAACUUCAAAUUGAAUUAUUAUUUUUUAUAAAGACCAAAGUGUAUUUUUUUUAUUUAAUAAAAAAUUGAAUUAUUUAAAAGGGGCGCAAAGUGCAAUUGGAGCAUUUAAUUAAAGGACCAAGGGCACUGAGUUUAAUUAUCAUUCAUAAGUAUAAUUUUCACAAUUCAAAGUCAGUCUAAUAGAUAUAAAAGAAAAAUAUAAAAAUUUCACAAAACUGGAAAAGAAAAAUAAAUUGCACAAAAUAUAAUGGUUAAUAAUCUUUUCGUGUAAAAGCAUUAAAAUAUUUUUAAAAAAUGGAAAAAAAAAAAUAGACAAUGUCAUCAAUCUUGGCUUAACACCUGUUUGAAAGGUUGCAUGCCCACCAGGUGUGCUAUGUUGCGAGUAGAUAAGUUUUAUUAUUAUUAUUGUUGUUAUUAUUAUUAAGUUCCAUUUAUUUUAAAAAAGUUAUUUCAAUAAAAAUGUUUUAAAAUUACUUCAAUGGAAGUUUUUAGAAUAAUUUAUACAAUUUUAUUCAUAAUAAAAUUUUAAAAAAUAAUUACUUAUGUUAUUAAAAUCAUGAAUUUAAUUAUUAUAUUAAUAAUAUUAGUAACAAAAAGAACUUAUCGAUAUACCAUUUAUAAUUUAAAAUGUAAUUAAAAUAUUUUAAAAUUUUAAAAUUAAUUUAAAAUAAAAAUUAUAAUUCGAGAAUGUCUCAUGAAUUAACUUUAUUUAUUAUAUAAAAAAGAAAAGGUAAACGCUAAGUUUGAGAGAGAGAGAAAGCGAGAUUUUUAUUAAACGAUAACGAGACUCUGAGAUUUUUAAAAGUAUUAUCCUCAGAAGAUUAAAAGAAAUAAAAAGUAUUAUCCUCACAAACAGGAAAAUAAAUAUAGAAAAAGAUUGUAAUAAAAAAAAUUCAACAAACAUGAGGCUGAAAUUAAAUUGGCUACUACUCUCCGACAGUGAUACUACUGCUGUUCGCCGCUCAACCUAUCCAGACAUUUCAAAUAUUCCUAAAUUAAAAAUCUGACCAAUAGGAAUUCCUUUUUUAUUUUUUUCAAAAAUAAUUCAGUUGCGAUUUUAUUUAAAAAAAGAAAUAAAUAAAUUAUUACUACAUAUUUAAUAAAUGUAUUUACUUGGACAAAAUUGAAUGUUGCUGGUACGCGUGGCGUUUACGGUAAAGGAAAAGCUGAUGUGGCAAAAAAGUGCACAAGAGCUAAAGUGGUCCCCACCACUUAACUCAAUUUAAAAAAAAAAAACUUUAUGUCACGAGCAGCUGUACCCACCAUUUGGCCUGCCGUCUUUCUGUCUGAAAAUUAUUUUUUCUAAGGUCAUAGAUAUUUUUCGAUUUUUCAUCUUUGCUUUUUCCUUUUUUAUAUAUUUUAUUUUAUUUUCUCCACUCUUUUUCCACACAAUUGUAAACGACGCUCUCUCACUAGUGGGACAAAAACGAAAAGUAAGGAGAGUGAAUGCUCCGCGCGUGGGAUUAAAAGUCAUAAAAUAUCUGAAAAAUGAGCUACACUUAUCAAUUAUCCAUCCAUCCUUCAAUAUCUUCCACAAAAAUAAAACGUGAAAAAAAAAUCUUUGAAAAAUUAAAAGGACAGUGCCAUCGCAAAAAAACGACGCGUGUCCAAAGGACUCGACAUUUCUCAGCCACAAGAUUCCAAGCCCUUCUCGAGUUUUCCAUGAAAAAUAAAAAAUAAAUAAAAAUAAAAAUCUGACGUGGCACCCUUCUCUCGCUUUUAUACUGAAGAAAUAAUACCUAUUAAAAUGAUUUAUUUAUCUUCGCUUGUUUUCUAAUUUCAAAAAUCUUCAAUGUUUUUCCCUUCUUCUAUUUCAAAUCUAAAUUUUCGACUCUUCUUGAUUCAUCUUUUGUUUUAAUUUUUCUUCUUUAAAUACUUUUCUAAGCAGUUUAACAGUAUAGCACGACUGUUAAUUGUUUAAUCUCUUGCUAUUUUGAGAAUUUUAUUGUGAAUUUUUUUCCUUUGGAUUGCUCUUGAAGUUUUCUGUUUUCCCGAGAUUUCUCGUUUAAACUGGUAAGUUUGUGCCUGAUUUGAUUUGUUUUGUGGAUAAUUUAGCUUUUUUUCAGUUUAUGAUUUGAAUUUUUUAUGAGACUCACUGUUCAUUGAAUUUUCUUUUAAUCGGAAAGGAAGAUUUCUGACUUGUUAUUGAAUUAGUUCUGAUUCUUAGAUUAUAUGAUGUAUUAAUAGUGAUUUUUGGUUUAUAGGGGAAGUUGCAGGAGUAUUUCUAGGUUCUGCAAGAUUUGAAGCAAACUUCGUUUCUAACGAUGGCUACGGAGGUAUAUACUAUAUCCUAUAUUGACGAGGCUUAUACUUGCAGUGUUAUUUUAUGUUUUAAGAAGGUUUGAUUUUAUCUUUCCUUUUUUAUGUUUCAAGAUGAAAGAAAGCUGUCAAUUUGCAGUCUGUACUCCGCAUAAUUUGAAUCAAAUGCUUCGAUGCAAAUUUGCUCUUUUUUUUUUUCUUUAUUUGUUAUCGCUAUGUUUGCUGGACCUUGGAAACUGCUCCUUUUAUGGAUUACUGAAAUUUAUGGAAUCAGAUGCUUUUUUUUUUUGUUACUCGAAGUUGUAUAUUUUUUCAAUUGCUUAUGUAUCUGUGUGGACCUGAAUAUGCUUUAAUGAGAGGAAUUAGCAUUCAUUUGAAAUGGAAAGUUAAACUUUAAAGAGUGUUUAAUAAUUGUUUAUAUGCUGUUGCAAAUUUUGAUAUAGGACCAAAUUGAAAGUACAGCAUCACCUACUGCUCUCAAAUCCGGUUUGUGCUGUUCCAUAGGCAGUGGACAAUCUGAGACAUUGACUCAAUUGCAGGAGUUAUACGGAUUUAAGCAUGAUCAUACACCCAAGGUUCCUUUCUUCACGUUGCCUAUGAUCUGUGCUUUCCUUUCGGUAUUAGUCCCCAGAUAGUAAUUUUUAAAUCUUUUCUUUGCUAUAGGUCCGGAAACCCUAUACAAUAACUAAACAAAGGGAAAAAUGGACCGAGGAAGAGCAUCAGAAGUUUCUUGAAGCUUUAAGGCUGUAUGGCCGUGGCUGGCGCCAAAUAGAAGGUAUGUGAGCAGUGGAGAUUUUUGCAUAUACUCUUUUGCCAUGGUUAUGGUGUGAACAGAUUAAGUUACACUUGUUUUCAUGCAGAGCAUGUAGGCACGAAAACUGCUGUUCAAAUUCGAAGUCAUGCUCAAAAGUUUUUCUCUAAGGUUUAUUGCUUUAUGUUCAUUGCAAGAUUUUCUUGAUUGGGGAACGAUUGUAUGCCAUGUGUAGACAUUCUUAUAUAGGUUUCUUUGAUCAGUCUCUUAUACUUGCGUGUCUGUGGUUCUAGGUUGCCCGAGAGUCAAAUGAUGGCUUUGAGAGUUCCGUUAAAUCAAUUGAGAUACCCCCUCCUCGUCCAAAAAGGAAGCCAACACAUCCAUAUCCCCGCAAAUCUGUUACAGCUGUUAAAGGAAUAUCUUCAUUAUCUCAAUUAGAGAGGUCUCUAUCCCCCAACCACUCUGUCUCGGAACAGGAUAACAAAUCACCCUCAUCAGUUUUGUCCCCAUUUGUUUUCGAUGCAAUGGGGUCUUCUGCUUCUGAGCAACCGAAUAGAUGUUCUUCUCCAACUUCUUGUACUACUAAUAUACAGUCACUCAAUAAUACAUCCCCUGUUGAAAAGGAAAAUGACUAUGUGACAUCUAUAGAGAAAGAGAAUGAAUCUUUAUCAUCUGCUAAAGUAUUUGGACAAUCAUCCGAGGAGGACAUUUUAUCUUUGGUAAAAUCUCUGCCCUUUUUCAUUUAUGGAACAAUUAUUACUGACCUUUGUCUUAGAAUUUGAACUCUGAUUUUCUUUCUUUCUUCAUGUAAUUACCCAGAAAUCCAACGCAGACUUUGAGGAACCUGUGUGUACCAAAGGAAACGAAGCAGCAGUAGUUGUGCCUUUCACCAGUAUUAAGCUUUUCGGGAAAACAGUUGAGGUGAAAGAUUCCAGCAAACCAUCCACGGGUGCAGAAAACUUUCAAAUGCAAACAUUGAAGAAUGGUGUAGCCGGCGAGUGCUUGGACUUGCAUUUGUCACAUGGGACAGUCAUCGAUAAUUGCAGUAGGGUACCUUCUAAAUCUAAUUUAUCCCCUUGUAUGGAAAUCCACACAGAUAAAAAUGAUCAUGUAGAAUACACCAGUGAUGCUCCUCUGCCAUGGUUAGCUUUUUACCAAGGUCUACCCUUUUAUUACAUCACUUCAUUUAAUCAAACCCAUAAGGACCCCAGAGUCAAAGAGACACCGAAAGAGAAGGAAACCCUGAAUGAAAGAUCUUGCACCGGUUCAAAUACGGGCUCAGUCAGUCAAAUAGAAAAUAUGGAAAAGAAUUCAGAUUCUGUCGAUUCUCAAUGCCAAAACCCUUGUCCUCGGGGAAAAAUGACAUCCCAAAAGUUUAGUAAAGGAUUUGUGCCAUACAAAAGAUGUUUAACAGAAAGGGAUAUGCCAUCAUCCAUGGUUGUAUCCGAGGGUCGAGAGAGGGCACAAAAAGCCCGAGUUUGCUCGUAGUUGCCAGCGCUCUUGUUCGGAUAAAACACAAUCGUAAGCAAAAGAGGAUCACAAAUAAUCACUUGAGGUCUUGGUUUACACACAUUUAUAUAGGCAAACUUUUUCAGUGAAUUAUAGGUAAUUUUUUCUGUUUGUAAUAUACCAUUUCUAUGUAUCAGCUACCUUCGGAUAUCCUGUGGCUCAAUGUGUUCAUAGCUCCAAAGGGUAAAGAGGGGUCCGUUUGUGUGUUAAAGGGUUAGGGGCCUAUUCUAGUUUUUACAUAUGUAUAUAUAUACACAUAUCAAGUAUGUGUAUAUGUAUGUUCUGGAUGCUAACUUGUUUUGCAACAAAGUUUUGUAAAUUAUGUCCCUUUUUUUGUUCGAACUGGAGCAGGUGGUUACCUCCACUUCAACAUAAACGUUGACUGGUUGUAUACCAUGUGCCAAUGGUAUUUCAUGACACAAGAAAUAAUCAGUUUGCAAAGAAAUAUUUUUGUCUGCCAUAGAAAAAGCUUCUGUUAUUUUCUUUUGUUUAGUGCGGUAUUAAUAGAGAUAUGCAUGAUUUGAUGAAUCAUAAAGGCAAUUAAAGAAAUUUGAUGCGAAGUUUCAUGUCAUCACUUACCAUUAUUAUUACAGUACAAUCAAUCACAAUUUUGAUUGGUGUAAGCCGACACCUGGCUUAUAUGCGAAGUGGUUUUAUAAUUGAGAUUGAUAGUAUGAAAAAUUGAAACCCCUCGUCUAAAUCAUUUGAUAAACGAUUCAACUUCAAGUCAUUUUAUUUUACCCCUCGUUGGGUAUAAUAUGCAUAAAGGUGUUAGCGCUUACCUCACGUUUGAUUGGCGUGGUGCCAACGUUAUUCAGAUUGCCAAUAUUAAAUUAUUUGGUGCCAUAAGCCCAUAACUCGUAAAAUAAUAUGAUUAGGUAACUUACCCCAACUGUAUUAAUAAUAAUAAUAGAUAAAUCUUUGAACUUGAUAACAUCUCUCAUUGAACUUGGUAGCAUUCUAUGUCACAUCAUCAUUUGAAUUUUUUUAAAAUUAAAAUUUAUUUAUAUUUUAAUAAUCCGUUAUAAUUUUCUACAUUUUAUAUAAAAUUAUUUAAAAUUUUAGGUAAUGAUAUGAUACCAUAACAAAAUUUAAGUUUUAAGAAUGAAAUUAAGAAAAAACCGUCACUGCUUUUUUAUACCUACAAAAACUAGGGAUGAAAAACUUAGAACCUUAGCUUCUAAGAAGCAAUUGGCCCAACAUCUAACAGAUAUAUACUAACCUAUUAACCAGAACGGUGUAAUUAUAUGACUACACUUAAGAGCAACAAAUACAACAAAUUAAGAAGUUAAAAAUGACGUUUACAACUCAACUAAAAGAAAAGAAAAGAAAAAAACAAAACUGGAUUUAAAAAAACAUUUGUUACUAGAAAAUGAACCAUCAAGAAGUGGCAAAACAAACAAAUCUUCCAGUACGUACAUACAGGGUAGACCUAAAAACAAAUAAUAAUAAUAAUAACAACAAUAAUAGGCACAAAAAAAAAAAAGAACAGAUUAGACCAUGAAUAAUAAAUCUGGUAGGCACUCAGUUUCAACCCUUUUUUGAACUCCAAAUAUCAUGUAUGGCUAUGGUCCCCUUUCAAUGUGUGGGGUUUACUACCUCUUCUCCAAAAUUUUCAACCUCUAAAACCCACCCUUUUAAUCCCAAAACCUAAGACUUAGAUCAAAGAAUUCGAAAUCUAAAUGAGAUUAGCUCUCUUUAGGAACCUGAUGGUUCUGCAAUAAUACGGCCAUAUUGAUUCAACAUAGUCCAGGUACUUCUCCAUCAUCCACUCUUGAAAAUCUUUCAUCUUUUUUCUACAUACCUCUUUGUAGUCCAAGUUCUUCAUGUCUACCACAGGUUGCCAUACGUGGACUCGUACGUCUUCUUUCAGCUUUCCAUGUGCGAUGUAGUUAUAAGCAAGGAGGUAGUAAGUAGGUAAGUUUCUAAUUAGUUGAACCGUCUGGGUGAAGCAGAAAACAUACAGGGCACAUAAGCCUCUAAGCAUCUUGAUGUAAAGAGCAAUGAUCAGGGGCCCAAACACCCAUAGAGGAGUCAAUUCCUUUGAAACUUCAGCCCCAUAAAUCAAAUUGACACCGAGGUACCACGGAACACUGCAUGCAUGGCAGAUUGAUUGUUAGCAAUGUAUGUAGAUAUGUUCACAGCAUUUCAUCGACAGAUCGUGUAAGUUAACUAAGACAGAGGACAACUCAAAAUUAUUGACAAAAAACUUUACCAAGUCGCAAUUUUUAUCAAAUCAUCCUGGGGCUAGAAUGAGGAAUACUAUUAUCGCUUGACAAGAAAAAAAUUAGAAUGAGUAAGGAAACCAGUUAACUCAGCAGCUUUUGUCAGCGCUGUAUUAGUCCUUGAAUCAACGCAAGAACUUUAUGGUUGAAACUCUGUGCUCUUUUUAGUAAAGACCCAUGAUGUAGAUAUUUGAAUUCACAAAUAUAAAUACCUAAUAGUAGCAAAUAGUGUAUAUUGCUAGAAAAUAACUCGCAGGGGGGGGGGCAGAAAAAGAGAGAACGCAUUAAUUAUACUUACACUAUUAAUAAGGGAAUUUUGAUUGUUGCAUUCAUGUCCCAGAAAUAGCUCCAGACCGUCUUUAGAAUCUUGCCUUUUCUAUUACUUUGGGUGUCAAUUUUAGCUUCUGACGUGUCCCUUGGAGGCGCUUCUUCUCCCAGAGCAUCAUCCAUCACUCGACUUGGGGAUUGUGAUCGCAAUAUCAUUAUCCAUUUCUUGAAUAAUUCCUGACAUCCCACAAUGUUCUCACCUGUUUCCGAGGAAUACGUAACUGGACCAUUAUGAGCCUUUGAAGAUUCUAUUGUGGUCGCUUCACCAUCUUUUGGAACAUAAGAAACUUUAAUAGAACUUUUUGGAACAUUCUCAUCGAUUGCUCUGCCUCCUGAUUCGCCAUUUUCAACACUGCCUUUGAAGGCAGAAAUUCUAAUACUUUUGGUAUUCAGUCCACAAGUAUGAGCCCCUAUACUGCAAAAAAUAAGCCUAUCUGAAUUCAAAUGCUCAAGAUGCAUAUGGUGAAAAAUGAAGUAUUUGAAGAAAAUGAAAAGAAACUAGGACUGCAAAAGAAAACAUAAGAAUAAUAAUUAUCGAAAGUAGAAACGAAAAUGAGUUCACUUCAUGCUCAAAGUGAAAAGCUCUUUCACUUCAACUCUUUUCCACAGCAAUAAUGAAUGCAUAAAAUAUUAUAUGAGAACAACUUAAUUUGGGUUUACAAGCAAAAAUUAUUUAAAGUAAUAGUAGAAUAGCACCUAAAUGCAUACAACAUUUGCAUUCAUAUAACACAAGAGCAUUCUUGUCAUCUUCACGUGUAAAGGAAGAAAAAUAAGAAUUGAGGCAAGAAUUUUUAAGAACAACAACAAAACACAUCAAGGACAAAAAUACAUGAUUUCCAUAGACCUGUAUUUAUGGAGUUAGACAAUAAGCAUUAUUGCACCAAUCAGGCAAUGUUUGGCACCAUUAACACCUUGGUAAUCAAAAGCAAGAAACAAAUUUCCAUUUACAACCGCACAUCACAUAGCACGAAAUUAUCUCAAUGAAAUUUUAUGCACCAGAAGUAAAUGUAAUCACCAUGAUGCAUUUUCAAAAUCCUUAAUUUUUAGAUUAAACAGUUGAUUCCCUAUCGCCUUUCACAAACUUGUACCUUCACUUCCAAAUUUUUAGAUUAAUAGAGAACUUUAAAAGAAAUGGGAAAUUUGGGGAAAGGAAAAAAUGUGGUAAGAACAAGCAUUUUGGAUUUUUCUUCCAGAGAAAAGAAUUCAAUAUGCUAAAUUAAAAGCACUAGCCCUAGUCCUUUCAGGUCACCACUUCCAUAUAAUGAGAGACAAGCUACCAGCAUGGAACUCUGUAUUUUGUUUCUUAACAUAAAGAAACUGUUGCUUACCAUAAACAAGUAGAGUGCCUUAAUGAUAAGCUCCUCUCCCUUCUCCCAAGCAUAUGAAGUGUAACUACAGGUCUCUUUAACGUCAAUCCUUCCCUCCAUAAUAAAGGCCUUGAAGGGCAUGCUACAUAUGAACCCUGCAAUGCAAUAAAAAUGAGCUGAAGGAAUGCCACAUAUGAAUCCUAAAAUGCAAUAAGUCAGCAUACUUUGCAGUCAGAUAAAUACCAAUACAAAGCUGUGAUCCUAGAUUUGUUAGAUAAGAUACCAAAUGAGACUCUUCCUCAAUAAACAAAAAUCCUCAAAGCAAUACAAAACGAGAGCUUCCAGAACAGAAUUCUUUAUUUCAUAGGAUUCAACUAACAAUGCUUCGAUGCACCUAUCUGUAGAACUCUACUUCAAACUCAGCCAUCAAACUCUUAAUUUCUAUAGAACUUAUUCCAUAAACUCCUAGUCUACCAGUUUUACUCAAAACUUAAUCUUAGAAUACCUGCAAUUGAUGGGUCACCAACAUCAUAGCUGCAACUUUCACCACAAGCUCCUGAACAUUUAUUCAACAAGGCCUAAACAAAUGAAAUGAAACACGGUCAAUACAUAAUGUCCUGCAUCAACAAAAAAGAUUAGAAGCUUUCAACUGUAUGUAAGAAAGAAACUCCAACAAACAAUGGCAUGAAAGAGAACCCAUCCAGUACAGAAACAGUAGGGGAACAAACUCCACCUUAUCCUAACUAUAGCAAUCAAAUAUAUUGACUCAAGAUUUCCAAUACAUAACAAACAACGGAAAUUAUAUACAAAAAUAGGACGAGAAUGCCGCGCAAAAAUGGAGCUCAGUUGAGUUUCAGAAAAUGAAACAGAAUUCUAUUAAAGAAAAAAUAAGGGAAAAAAAAGCUGCAUAUAUUGACAUUACUUUCCCUCGCUAUCGACAUUACUUUGCCUCUCUUUUCUCAGCAUCCAAACAAGUGUUGAAGCUAAUAACUUCAAAUUAAACCAUUUUCUACGCGGAUAAGUGAAAUUCCUCGUUCUUUCAAGGAAAUUAAAGUAAAACUCGAAUUCAACUCGUGACUUUUUGUUUCAAUUGAUUCUGUUUUUCUAAUUUGAGCAAAUAAAUAGAGGAAAAAAAACCCUAAAUGCAUUACAAAUUAAAAUAAAAUAAAUAGCAGAGAAGAACAAGAAGAAGAAUAGACUUUACCUUUAGACGUGAUACCUUCAGCUCCUAUCCAAAACAGCUUCGAAAUUGAAUUUGCUUUCUUUUUAUUACGAAAAUAAUUAACGAAAAAGAUAAAUAAUAAUAAUAAUAAUAAUAAUUUAUUUUUCAGAUUCUCUUAAAAGAAAAAAGAAAAACCUAGCAAAUAAGCCGGUGCUUCGCCUUUGGCCGGUAUAAAUAUUUUUAAAUUUAUUUAAUUGUCAAAAUUAUGUAUUUUUUAUAUUCAUUUAGUGCAAUGUUAAAUCAUUUUUGACAUUAUAUUUUUUACAAUUAAUGUUUUGAAUUAAACAUUAAUUUAAUUGUCUGAAAUAUCAGAUUCUUUUUCAGAACAAGAAAAUGUAAAUAAUAAUGAAAAAUGUAUAUUAUAAACAAUAAAUUGUAAUGUAGUCCUAAUACAAGGUUUAAAAAAAUUUUAAAAAAAAGUGUGUCCAAGUUUCCACAUAAUACGAACCGUCACCAAAUUUCACAUAAAAUAUAUACAUGUAUGUUUGUGAACAUAAAUUGUUUACGUCUCUUUUACUUAGGUUGUAAGCUAAGAGUGCUUGGGUUCCCCAAAUUUCGAACACUUUUUCAUACCUCUUCUUUAGGCUCCAGUUUUUUUCUUUUUGAAACUAGGUUGGAGGUGAUUUAAUUUUUAAAAGUAUUAAAGUUGAGUCUAGGGUAAAUUUAUCUCUUCUCAAAAUAUUUAUAAAAAUAUUAUUGAAUAUAUAUGAUAAGUUAAGUUUAAUUUAUUGUUAGUCUAAUCUUUUAAUUUCGAUAAAAGUAUUAUGAAAGCUUUUGCAUUAGGAAUAUGAUUAUAUUUUAUUCCCUCUAUUAAAAAAUUAGAUAAAUUAGUUAUUAUACAUUAAAUUAAAGAGUAAAUUUAUCAUUGGAUUAAAAAAUUCAUCACUUUUUACGAUUAAAAUAAUAUGAGGUACAUGUGCCUAUUUCAUCAAUCACGCUAGUAUUUAACUGUAAAAACAGAUGAAAUUUUAACAAAAAUCACAUGUUUACUUUUUAAUUUAAUGUACAUUGAUUCAUUUAUUAUUUUUUUAAUAAAACAAAUAAAAUAUAAUCUAAUUUCUAAUAUGAAAGGUUCUAUGAUACUUUUACCUUCGACUUCUUGUCCACGAUUGCUUCUUUCUAUUUCUCUAGAACUGUUGCAAAUGAAUUAUUUAUCCAAAACUUGGAAAAAGAAGAAAAUUGCCUUAAACUUGAGUUAUUAUCAAAAUAAUUUGUUAUGUGCCUUAUUUUUUUAACUAAAAAAAUGUAAUCUUAUUGAGAUUAAAAUCUAUUGAAGCAAAUACUUCUUUAAUGAACUUUGGAAAGAAAUAGAAAACAUAAUAAAAUCAAAUAAAAUUUAAGCCAAAUCAAGUCGAAAUUUUCGACUCAAGUUCAGGAUAAAUUAUUGUUUUUAGAUCAAAAUCAGGGUAUGCAGUAAGUAAAGCUUCGAGUCGAAAUCAAGAUAUGCAAAAAUCCAACCCUCCCUACCCCGUUGUGAUCACAAAUCUAGGCUUGAAGUUCGGCCUUCCGCCAUUUUAUGGUGAUGCGUGGUUGGCCCUACAACUUGGGUCAUGUUACAAGCUACUUUUCUCUAGCUUGCCAAUCGGUUUUUUAUAGAACUUGGGUCUUUCAAAGGACUUAUUGGGCUUUAAGCCUGCGAUCUCAUAGCUUGAACAUUUUUUUUUAUUUUGGUUGGAAUCGUGUCACCAUCUUGCAGAGCGUUUCAAAGUCAUAUUUGAGGAAGAAUUAUUGAGUAAAUUUGUCUUGGACUUUCUUAUGUUAAAGAAUUUAGAUUAUAUUUUAUUUUAUUUUCUUAUAUUAAGAAUUAGAUUAUAUUUUAUUUUGUUUUGUUAAAAAUAGAUAAAUUGAUUUCUGUAUGUUAGGUUAAAAGAGAUACACGUUGUCAUGUGUAAUUGUUUGGUUAAUUUAUCGGCUACGCUAAUUUUUAACAUUAAAAAUACAUAAAACUUUUAACAAAAAAAAAAAUACAAUUUAACUUUUAGCAUAGUGGUUCUAUAUAUAAGGGUUGAAUUUGGUGUCAAAAGUUACUAGAAUUCAUUAUACCUGAGAAAAGGUUUUUUUUUUAUUUUUUUAUUUCUAUGUAUAAGAGCAAUCUAUAAGAUAUGUCCCUCUCUCAAUUUAAUCCAUAUAUGCCCUUGAUCAGUCAGUGUUUAAGUGGGCACACAUCCACGUGAUUCAAGACUAAAGGGCUUUUGUACCCCCAUGCUUUUGCAAAGUUUUUAAUAUAUCAAUUUUCAGCUUUAUCUUUCCAUAAAGAUGGUGAAAAUGAUAAACUUCUUUUUAAUCUACCAUUUUCUCUUUUAUAUAGAUCCCAAUAUAUAGUUAAUAGAGAUCACAUGGUCUCUAAAUCUGAAUAAGAUGUGGAUGAUCCACCAGCUUCAAUCUCUAUAUAUGUAGUUUAUAUGGACUAAGCUAAUU